AUUCUCGCUUUGGGUGCGAGAGGUCCCGAGUUCGAUUGUCGGAAUGCCCCCUUUGUUUUUAACUUUUUUAAGGGUUAAUUAAACAAAAUUCUCCCGACAAUUUUUGUAUACCAAAAAUACCCCUUAAUAUUUUACCAAUAAUCGGAAUUUUUGAAGGUCAAUUUCGUCCAAAAUAGAAUUCAAAUUUAGCCUUACAUUUCUUCAAAUCACUGUACUACAAAGUCCUCAACUUUAUCCUAUCUUCUUCUCCAAAUUCUCCCUUCUCUUCUCUUCUCUUUUUCAUCUCUACAAAAAUGUCUUCCACUCUCUCCACUGCAUCUCUCCGAUCCCCAUCUCCUUCUUCUUCUUCUUCUUCUUCUUAUCCAUCAAAUUUCUCCCAUUCCCUCAAACCCACUCCCCUCCGUUUCCCCUUUUCUUUCGCCCCCACAAAUCUCUCUCUUCGCCUUAUUCAUCACCGCCCAAUCUCCGCCGUCGCUGUUCCGGAGAAAGUGUCAGAAAUCGGCGAUGUCAUCUCCAAGUUGACUCUCGAAGAGGCACGAACCCUUGUCGAUUACCUCCAAGAGAAACUCGGCGUUUCCGCUGCCUCCUUCGCCCCUGCCGCCGUCGCCGUCGCUCCCGGCGCUGCUGCCGGAGGUGAUGAUGCGGCUGCUGCUGUCGAGGAGAAAACGGAGUUUGAUGUUGUUAUUGAGGAAGUGCCGAGUAAUGCAAGGAUUGCGGUUAUUAAAGCUGUUAGGGCUUUGACGAGCUUGGCGUUGAAGGAAGCGAAGGAGUUGAUUGAAGGUUUGCCGAAGAAGUUUAAGGAAGGAAUUUCGAAGGAAGAGGCGGAGGAUGCGAAGAAGCAGCUUGAAGAGGCUGGUGCGAAGAUUGCUAUUGUUUGAUUUUGCUGGUCCUUUGGUGGCGGAUCAUAAUUAUGAUCUUGAUUGUUCUUGUGUUUAUCGUUCACGGAUUUCGGAUCUGAAUUCAUCGCUGAUUGGUUCAACGAAGACUGAAGUGGAUACAUAUUUCUCUUGCCAAAGCCUCUGCCUCAGCUCCUGUUUUGAUUAUUUGAUCAAAACAAAUGUAUCUUCCAUGUGCUUCGUUUUCUCCCAUUGCCUCAUAAACGUUCACCUGUGCCUCUGCCAAUCUUCGCACGCUCACCGUUGCCAGUAGCCCUUUGCUCAUACAUCUCUUCUGCUCCUAAUGUCGUUUACAAAUGAAAAAGAUUGAGAACUUGAAUAAGAUUGACAAUAAUCGAGGAGAAACUGUACACUCGGGCUAACUAUUUUUAUGUUUUGUUUAACUUCAAAGUGUAUAGUUAGUAAGAAAAAUAGUUUUCAAGCUUCUCUCAUAAGAAAAUUGUACCUAAGUUGUAUGGCAAUCAUACGUGAGUAUAUAUUAAAUAAUCAAAGUGUAUAGUUAGUAAGAAAAAUAGUUUUCAAGCUUCUCUCGCAUAAGAAAAUUGUACCUAAGUUGUAUGGCAAUCAUACGUGAGUAUAUAUUAAAUAAUAGGGCAAAAUCUAUUGGUGUAGACUUAACUAAUAGAGUAAUAAUAUAGUCUAUAAGUAAGAGUUGUAGUUAAUCAAUUCCAAACUUCGAGAGUUGAAUUUAAGUUUUGCUAUAUCUAGUAAAAAAGUUAGUUGGAGAUUAACAUUUUGAAAAUAUUAAAUUUUAGAUAUUGGAAAAAGAUAAAGAGUACCUUUGAGAUAUGCAAUUGUUGGAGUUGAAUUUGUGGUAGAGAGGUUAGGAGGAGGAGUUACCAAGGCAGAACAAAUGGUGACUAACUUUAUAUCUCUUUCUUUUGCAAUCCUCCAUGCUGCCUUCUCCGCCUUCAGCUUCCCCAAAGCAUACCAUAGCUUCAAUUCCAUACAAAAAGUUCCGACAUAAAUAGCUUUAAAUUGUCUUCUUCAAAACCACAUAAUAAACACCAAAAUGAUCGUUUUUAAAUAAUAUUAUUUUGAAAUGGCUUAAUAAGCAUGACAUUCACAGAGUUAUUCAAGAUUUAGACUUACUUUUUUAUCGUUGCAUAGCGAUCGAUCGCUCCAACAAUCAUGGUCGACGACCGGGGGGAGCUCGGCUCGUGUUCCGUCACGCCAUAUGCAGGCCAAAAGAGAAGAGGUAAAAACACAGUAUCUUACGGAUGACGUUCUUGCGCAGGCCUCCAUGACAUUCUCACUCACCUUCUUUUCCACCUCAACCAUGGCUUUCUUUUAGUACACAACAUCAUCAUUUAGAAGAAGGUUAGAUUAGAUUCUAUUAAAAUGGAAAACUAAAAGAUGUUUAUAAGAAUUUAAACUUCAUUAGUAACUUCUUAACUUCUAUAGCAUUACCCAAUAUAUAUCUCACCCACACAUGAUAUAUAUAUAUGUUUAACUUCUUUUCCUUCUAUACAUUUAUUAGAUUAUAUACAAUUUGUUACUUAAAGUAACACAACUUUAGGUUAGAAAUAAUAAUAAUCAACAAACAAAGUUCUUAUUUGUUUUCUUA